CAACCAAGCUCCUCAAAAUCCGGUGGCAAUUGGCAUGCAGAGUGGUUUGUGGACAGAAAAAUCCAUUUUCCCACUUCACUGAAGUAGGAACCGCGCUUGCAGCAGAGGCAGGCAACCACACCACAGAGCGAAAUGGGAGAGAAGAGGACACUGACAGAUAGGUUUUGGGAAAGCUGUGGUUUUUAACUACUGCGGUGACCAUAGAGAACUAAGUCCUUCUGUCACAUUCAAUUCUCAAUUCAAACAACACACUGCCACAGGUCAAAAUUAGACUUCUGAGGUUCAUCUGUGUUCAACCUUCUCCAGCAGCCACUGAUGCAAAAAGAAUUGUAUCCUGUGCAAAUAAAGAAGUCUAGUAUUCAACUUACAAGUUACAAGUAAGAAGAAAAAACAUUCACCUUCUGUCAGAACAUUGUUAUA